rnacentral:rRNA from 1 species
CACGUAGGGGCGAGCGUUGUCCGGAAUUACUGGGCGUAAAGGGCGCGCAGGCUGUUAUGCGAGUCUGCUGUGAAAUGUACCGGCUCAACCGGUGCCUUGCGGCGGAUACUGCAUAGCUGGAGUACUGGAGAGGGAAGUGGAAUUCCCGGUGUAGCGGUGAAAUGCGUAGAGAUCGGGAGGAACACCCGUGGCGAAGGCGGCCAGCUGGGAUACACCUGACACUGAGGCGCGAAGGCGUGGGGAGCGAACGGGAUUAGAUACCCCGGUAGU